UCACAGCGUAUAAAAUUAAAUAAAAUACGCACAUUUUUCAUAAUAAAUAUCAACCAAGGUGAUGUAUAUAUAAAAUAUAACCAUAUACAUAAGGAUAAUAGUAAAAUGAAUGUAGACAUAACAAGGAACAAAAUUCCUCUUAUUUCUCCCUUACUCUAAAACAAAUUGAUCAAUAUGAGAAACUCCCUCUAGUAUAUAAAUAUACCAUCACUCGGUGAAAUAAUCCAUCAAUAAAAUUUGUAUACAAGAAAAAUGAAUAGUAUAUUGAUAGAGAGAUUAGAACUUCAACACUGCUAGCAUUGAGAAUAGAAGGGAAGCACCAAUCAUUGCGACGGAGGUGGAAACGGAAACCGCUGCUCCGGCAUCAGGUGACGGCGCCGGUGAGGAUGCCGGAGAGAGACCUUGAGCGGAGGCGGCAAUAGAGAACAGAGCGACGAGGACGAAAAUAGAAAGAGCUUUGAAUGUAGUAACUGGUGCCAUUGCUUCAAAUUGGAGAGAGAAGAGAGAAUGAAAUUGGAGAGAGAUUGUUUGAGAUGUGUUGUUAAGAAGAGAAGGUUGAAGAUGAAAGAGUGUGAUAUGA
rnacentral:lncRNA from 1 species